UACGUAGGGGGCAAGCGUUGUCCGGAUUUAUUGGGCGUAAAGAGCUCGUAGGCGGCUUGUCGCGUCGACUGUGAAAACCCGCGGCUCAACCGUGUGGCGGGCAGUUGAUACGGGCAGGCUAGAGUUCGGUAGGGGAGACUGGAAUUCCUGGUGUAGCGGUGAAAUGCGUAGAUAUCUGGAGGAACACCGGUGGCGAAGGCGGCAUCCUGGACCAACACUGACACUGAUGAGCGAAAGCCAGGGGAGCAAACGGG
rnacentral:rRNA from 1 species